UACGGAGGGUGCAAGCGUUAUCCGGAUUCACUGGGUUUAAAGGGUGCGUAGGAGGGCAGGUAAGUCAGUGGUGAAAUCCCCGAGCUUAACUUGGGAACUGCCGUUGAUACUAUCUGUCUUGAAUAUUGUGGAGGUGAGCGGAAUAUGUCAUGUAGCGGUGAAAUGCUUAGAUAUGACAUAGAACACCAAUUGCGAAGGCAGCUGGCUACACAUAUAUUGACACUGAGGCACGAAAGCGUGGGGAUCAAACAGG
rnacentral:rRNA from 1 species